rnacentral:rRNA from 1 species
UAUACGACCGUACCGCAAACCGACACUGGUGCGCGAGAUGAGUAUUCUAAGGCGCUUGAGAGAACUCAGGAGAAGGAACUCGGCAAAUUGACACCGUAACUUCGGAAGAAGGUGUGCCCUAUUAGUGUGUAGUGAACAACGAAGCAUGAAUGGGUUGCAAAAAAUCGGUGGCUGCGACUGUUUAUUAAAAACACAGCACUCUGCAAACACGAAAGUGGACGUAUAGGGUGUGACGCCUGCCCGGUGCUGGAAGAUUAAAUGAUGGGGUGCAAGCUCUUGAUUGAAGUCCCAGUAAACGGCGGCCGUAACAAUAACGGUCCUAAGGUAGCGAAAUUCCUUGUCGGGUAAGUUCCGACCUGCACGAAUGGCGUAACGAUGGCCACACUGUCUCCUCCUGAGACUCAGCGAAGUUGAAAUGUUUGUGAUGAUGCAAUCUCCCCGCGGAAAGACGGAAAGACCCCAUGAACCUUUACUGUAGCUUUGUAUUGGACUUUGAACAGAUCUGUGUAGGAUAGGUGGGAGGCUUUGAAGCAGGGUCGCUAGAUCUUGUGGAGCCAACGUUGAAAUACCACCCUGGUGUGUUUGAGGUUCUAACCUAGGUCCAUUAUCUGGAUCGGGGACAGUGCAUGGUAGGCAGUUUGACUGGGGCGGUCUCCUCCCAAAGCGUAACGGAGGAGUUCGAAGGUACGCUAGUUACGGUCGGACAUCGUGACGAUAGUGCAAUGGCAUAAGCGUGCUUAACUGCGAGACUGACAAGUCGAGCAGAUGCGAAAGCAGGACAUAGUGAUCCGGUGGUUCUGUAUGGAAGGGCCAUCGCUCAACGGAUAAAAGGUACUCUGGAUAACAGGCUGAUACCGCCCAAGAGUUCAUAUCGACGGCGGUGUUUGGCACCUCGAUGUCGGCUCAUCUCAUCCUGGGGCUGUAGCCGGUCCCAAGGGUAUGGCUGUUCGCCAUUUAAAGAGGUACGUGAGCUGGGUUUAAAACGUCGUGAGACAGUUUGGUCCCUAUCUUCCGUGGGCGCUGCAGAUUUGAGGAAGCCUGCUCCUAGUACGAGAGGACCGGAGUGGACACACCUCUGGUGUAUCGGUUGUCACGCCAGUGGCAUUGCCGAGUAGCUAAGUGUGGAAGAGAUAACCGCUGAAAGCAUCUAAGCGGGAAACUCGUUUCAAGAUGAGAUCUGCCGGGGCCUUGAGCCCCCUAAAGAGUCGUUCAAGACCAGGACGUUGAUAGGUCAGGUGUGGAAGCGAAGAAA